GGAAGAUGGUCUUUAUUUGCCCACCAAAUCAUCUUUUCUGCAACUAAUUUUAUGUCACUGGAUGAGUUCUGAAGACACUGAGGGAGACAGAGAUGGACUUAAAUUCAGAUAUAUCAAGGAGAGGUUGCUGGGGGUGUGCAGGAGAGAAGUGGGCAGAAACCAAGCAAUGUUUCCCUUGUACACUGUCACAGCUGAGCUUCUGACCCAGAAGUCCCUAUCACCCACAUUCUCUGUUCUACAACCCUUGAUGAGAAGUCACCUGCUUUCACUAGACACGGCCUGUGCUGGUCAAGGACUUCCAGGUGAGAUGGUGAAACUCAAGAACAGUGCUCCACAGGCAGUUGCAGAUAGGCAAGUAGGCACUAGGUUGUGCUCUGUUGACUAUAGUCUUUUCUCCUUCUAAGUACAGAGAAGCCAGCUCAGGUAAGCUAAGCUGAAAUUUGUUUAAUGACAAAGAAAACCAGGCACCCUUGGGUUUUUUCUUUCUUUAGGCUCUCAAGAAGUGACUAAGCCUGAAGCUUUCCAGAAACAUUGGGCCCAAUACAGACGUAAGAUUUUUUUGACAGCUUCUCUCUGAGACUAAGCUCUCUGCAACUCUAAAUAGAAGGUGUUGUAAUUACACCUGUUUUAACAAAAGAAAGGUGUGGGUAGACCCAAGAUAAAUCUAGCACAGAGCAUUACUUAAAGCGUUACUGUUGAGUAGCUACUGCCUCCUCCUGCAGACACACUGCCAGAACUGAAGCCUCUCUUUAGCAGUGUUAGAGAACAUUCACCUGUGACCCUGAAUGAUUCCC